UAAUACGAAGGGACCUAGCGUAGUUCGGAAUUACUGGGCUUAAAGAGUUCGUAGGUGGUUAAAAAAGUUGGUGGUGAAAUCCCAGAGCUUAACUCUGGAACUGCCAUCAAAACUUUUUAGCUAGAGUAUGAUAGAGGAAAGCAGAAUUUCUAGUGUAGAGGUGAAAUUCGUAGAUAUUAGAAAGAAUACCAAUUGCGAAGGCAGCUUUCUGGAUCAUUACUGACACUGAGGAACGAAAGCAUGGGUAGCGAAGAGGAUUAGAUACCCUCGUAGUCCAUGCCGUAAACGAUGUGUGUUAGACGUUGGAAAUUUAUUUUCAGUGUCGCAGUGAAAACUAUAAACACACCGCCUGGGGAGUACGACCGCAAGGUUA
rnacentral:rRNA from 1 species